UACGGGAGGCAGCAGUAGGGAAUCCUCCGCAAUGGACGAAAGUCUGACGGAGCAACGCCGCGUGAGCGAGGAAGGUCUUCGGAUCGUAAAGCUCUGUUGUUAGGGGAGAACAAGUGCCGGAGGAACAUGCCGGCACCUUGACGGUACCUAACCAGAAAGCCCCGGCUAACUACGUGCCAGCGACCGCGGUAAU
rnacentral:rRNA from 1 species